rnacentral:rRNA from 3 species
GUUAAGUUGCAGGGUAUAGACCCGAAACCCGGUGAUCUAGCCAUGGGCAGGUUGAAGGUUGGGUAACACUAACUGGAGGACCGAACCGACUAAUGUUGAAAAAUUAGCGGAUGACCUGUGGCUGGGGGUGAAAGGCCAAUCAAACCGGGAGAUAGCUGGUUCUCCCCGAAAGCUAUUUAGGUAGCGCCUCGUGAAUUCAUCUCCGGGGGUAGAGCACUGUUUCGGCUAGGGGGCCAUCCCGGCUUACCAACCCGAUGCAAACUGCGAAUACCGGAGAAUGUUAUCACGGGAGACACACGGCGGGUGCUAACGUCCGUCGUGAAGAGGGAAACAACCCAGACCGCCAGCUAAGGUCCCAAAGUCAUGGUUAAGUGGGAAACGAUGUGGGAAGGCCCAGACAGCCAGGAUGUUGGCUUAGAAGCAGCCAUCAUUUAAAGAAAGCGUAAUAGCUCACUGGUCGAGUCGGCCUGCGCGGAAGAUGUAACGGGGCUAAACCAUGCACCGAAGCUGCGGCAGCGACACUGUGUGUUGUUGGGUAGGGGAGCGUUCUGUAAGCCUGUGAAGGUGUGUCGUGAGGCAUGCUGGAGGUAUCAGAAGUGCGAAUGCUGACAUAAGUAACGAUAAAGCGGGUGAAAAGCCCGCUCGCCGGAAGACCAAGGGUUCCUGUCCAACGUUAAUCGGGGCAGGGUGAGUCGACCCCUAAGGCGAGGCCGAAAGGCGUAGUCGAUGGGAAACGGGUUAAUAUUCCCGUACUUGGUGUUACUGCGAAGGGGGGACGGAGAAGGCUAUGUUGGCCGGG